CCCAAGUCAGUAAUUGAUAUAAAACUCAUACAUGCUGGCAAAGUUUUGGAGAAUGGCAAGACGCUGGCAAAAUCCAGAGUACAUUUUGGUGACCUUCCUGGUGGCGUUAGUACUAUGCAUGUUGUGGUGCAGCCUCCUGUCCCAAAAAAGAAGACAGACAAGAACCAGGAGAAGAAUCAUAAGCAGAAUUCAUGCUCAUGCGCUAUCCUUUGAAUUGGGAAAGCAUGCUUUGUGGCUGUUGUGCAGACAGGACAACGUUUCACAUUUUUGACCUUCCUUUUAUAUUGUCAUUGCUGUGUAACAUUCUAAAUGGCAUCUAUGAUUUAGCAGGUUACAUUACAUGUGAUAUUGCUUCUGCAAUUGUUAACGUUGUAUUCUUUUUUCUAUACGUAAGAUCAAAAUUUCUACCAUUCAGUA